rnacentral:lncRNA from 1 species
AUAACUCGUUGCGGGCUCCGCGCGGUCCCACUUCCCGGCUCCCUUCGCCUCCAGGAUGCGCUGAGCCCUACAACACCCCCAGCGGCCGCCGGCUCCCCCACGAGGAUGGAGAUAUUCUAGCAUCCAACUUCUCUGUUGACACACAAGUCGCGUACAUCCUAAGUCUGGGCGUCGUGAAAGAGUUCAGGAAGCACGGCAUAGGUUCCCUCUUACUUGAAAGUUUAAAGGAUCACAUAUCAACCACCGCCCAGGACCACUGCAAAGCCAUUUACCUGCAUGUCCUCACCACCAACAACACAGCAAUAAACUUCUAUGAAAACAGAGACUUCAAGCAGCACCACUAUCUCCCCUAUUACUACUCCAUUCGAGGGGUCCUCAAAGAUGGCUUCACCUAUGUCCUCUACAUCAACGGCGGCCACCCUCCCUGGACGAUUUUAUAUCCUUAACUUCUGGGGGAGAGGGACUGUGGCUUCCUGUCCAUAAGGUGGCAGAGCCAGUGAGCAAGUUGGAGCUGUGGUCCCCCUCAGAUGAUGUUCAGGUGGCCAAGCUUAUGGAUGCUUCUCUCCCUUACCUGAUCG